rnacentral:rRNA from 1 species
CAGCAUCCGCGGUAAUACAGAGGGUGCGAGCGUUAAUCGGAUUUACUGGGCGUAAAGCGUGCGUAGGCGGCUUCUUAAGUCGGAUGUGAAAUCCCUGAGCUUAACUUAGGAAUUGCAUUCGAUACUGGGAAGCUAGAGUAUGGGAGAGGAUGGUAGAAUUCCAGGUGUAGCGGUGAAAUGCGUAGAGAUCUGGAGGAAUACCGAUGGCGAAGGCAGCCAUCUGGCCUAAUACUGACGCUGAGGUACGAAAGCAUGGGGAGCAAACAGGAUUAGAUACCCCCGUAGUCCCUGUCUCUUAUAA